rnacentral:rRNA from 1 species
CAGCACCGCGGUAAUACGAAGGGGGCUAGCGUUGUUCGGAAUUACUGGGCGUAGAGCGCGUGUAGGCGGGUCCUUAAGUCAGGGGUGAAAUGCCAAGGCUCAACCUUGGAACUGCCUUUGAUACUGGGGAUCUUGAGUCCGGGAGAGGUGAGUGGAACUGCGAGUGUAGAGGUGAAAUUCGUAGAUAUUCGCAAGAACACCAGUGGCGAAGGCGGCCCACUGGCCCGGAACUGACGCUGAGACGCGAAAGCGUGGGGAGCAAACAGGAUUAGAUACCCCCGUAGUCCCUGUCUCUUAUACA